rnacentral:rRNA from 1 species
GGUUAAGCGACUAAGCGUACACGGUGGAUGCCCUGGCAGUCAGAGGCGAUGAAGGGCGUGCUAAUCUGCGAUAAGCGCCGGUAAGGUGAUAUGAACUGUUAUAACCGGCGAUACCCGAAUGGGGAAACCCAGUGUGACUCGUCACACUAUCAUUAACUGAAUCCAUAGGUUAAUGAGGCGAACCGGGGGAACUGAAACAUCUAAGUACCCCGAGGAAAAGAAAUCAACCGAGAUUCCCCCAGUAGCGGCGAGCGAACGGGGAGGAGCCCAGAGCCUGAAUCAGCAUGUGUGUUAGUGGAAGCGUCUGGAAAGGCGCGCGAUACAGGGUGACAGCCCCGUACACAAAAGCGCAUGUGCUGUGAGCUCGAUGAGUAGGGCGGGACACGUGGUAUCCUGUCUGAAUAUGGGGGGACCAUCCUCCAAGGCUAAAUACUCCUGACUGACCGAUAGUGAACCAGUACCGUGAGGGAAAGGCGAAAAGAACCCCGGCGAGGGGAGUGAAAAAGAACCUGAAACCGUGUACGUACAAGCAGUGGGAGCCCCACCACUAAGCCAGUGGUGAACUCCACAUACGCAUCCUUUGCUGAAGGCAAUGGUUAACGAGCGAAAGCGACGUUCAACCGCAAAACAAGCAGAGGGGGCUUAGUGGUGGGGUGACUGCGUACCUUUUGUAUAAUGGGUCAGCGACUUAUAUUCUGUAGCAAGGUUAACCGUAUAGGGGAGCCGGAGGGAAACCGAGUCUUAAUUGGGCGUUAAGUUGCAGGGUAUAGACCCGAAACCCGGUGAUCUAGCCAUGGGCAGGUUGAAGGUUGGGUAACACUAACUGGAGGACCGAACCGACUAAUGUUGAAAAAUUAGCGGAUGACCUGUGGCUGGGGGUGAAAGGCCAAUCAAACCGGGAGAUAGCUGGUUCUCCCCGAAAGCUAUUUAGGUAGCGCCUCGUGAAUUCAUCUCCGGGGGUAGAGCACUGUUUCGGCUAGGGGGCCAUCCCGGCUUACCAACCCGAUGCAAACUGCGAAUACCGGAGAAUGUUAUCACGGGAGACACACGGCGGGUGCUAACGUCCGUCGUGAAGAGGGAAACAACCCAGACCGCCAGCUAAGGUCCCAAAGUCAUGGUUAAGUGGGAAACGAUGUGGGAAGGCCCAGACAGCCAGGAUGUUGGCUUAGAAGCAGCCAUCAUUUAAAGAAAGCGUAAUAGCUCACUGGUCGAGUCGGCCUGCGCGGAAGAUGUAACGGGGCUAAACCAUGCACCGAAGCUGCGGCAGCGACACUCAGGUGUUGUUGGGUAGGGGAGCGUUCUGUAAGCCUGUGAAGGUGUGUCGUGAGGCAUGCUGGAGGUAUCAGAAGUGCGAAUGCUGACAUAAGUAACGAUAAAGCGGGUGAAAAGCCCGCUCGCCGGAAGACCAAGGGUUCCUGUCCAACGUUAAUCGGGGCAGGGUGAGUCGACCCCUAAGGCGAGGCCGAAAGGCGUAGUCGAUGGGAAACAGGUUAAUAUUCCUGUACUUGGUGUUACUGCGAAGGGGGGACGGAGAAGGCUAUGUUGGCCGGGCGACGGUUGUCCCGGUUUAAGCGUGUAGGUGUGUGUUCCAGGUAAAUCCGGUUCACUUUAACACUGAGGCGUGACGACGAGGCACUACGGUGCUGAAGCAACAAAUGCCCUGCUUCCAGGAAAAGCCUCUAAGCAUCAGGUAACAUCAAAUCGUACCCCAAACCGACACAGGUGGUCAGGUAGAGAAUACCAAGGCGCUUGAGAGAACUCGGGUGAAGGAACUAGGCAAAAUGGUGCCGUAACUUCGGGAGAAGGCACGCUGACACGUAGGUGAAGUGAUUUACUCAUGGAGCUGAAGUCAGUCGAAGAUACCAGCUGGCUGCAACUGUUUAUUAAAAACACAGCACUGUGCAAACACGAAAGUGGACGUAUACGGUGUGACGCCUGCCCGGUGCCGGAAGGUUAAUUGAUGGGGUCAGCGCAAGCGAAGCUCCUGAUCGAAGCCCCGGUAAACGGCGGCCGUAACUAUAACGGUCCUAAGGUAGCGAAAUUCCUUGUCGGGUAAGUUCCGACCUGCACGAAUGGCGUAAUGAUGGCCAGGCUGUCUCUCCACCCGAGACUCAGUGAAAUUGAACUCGCUGUGAAGAUGCAGUGUACCCGCGGCAAGACGGAAAGACCCCGUGAACCUUUACUAUAGCUUGACACUGAACAUUGAGCCUUGAUGUGUAGGAUAGGUGGGAGGCUUUGAAGCGUGGACGCCAGUCUGCGUGGAGCCGACCUUGAAAUACCACCCUUUAAUGUUUGAUGUUCUAACGUGGACCCGUAAUCCGGGUUGCGGACAGUGUCUGGUGGGUAGUUUGACUGGGGCGGUCUCCUCCUAAAGAGUAACGGAGGAGCACGAAGGUUGGCUAAUCCUGGUCGGACAUCAGGAGGUUAGUGCAAUGGCAUAAGCCAGCUUGACUGCGAGCGUGACGGCGCGAGCAGGUGCGAAAGCAGGUCAUAGUGAUCCGGUGGUUCUGAAUGGAAGGGCCAUCGCUCAACGGAUAAAAGGUACUCCGGGGAUAACAGGCUGAUACCGCCCAAGAGUUCAUAUCGACGGCGGUGUUUGGCACCUCGAUGUCGGCUCAUCACAUCCUGGGGCUGAAGUAGGUCCCAAGGGUAUGGCUGUUCGCCAUUUAAAGUGGUACGCGAGCUGGGUUUAGAACGUCGUGAGACAGUUCGGUCCCUAUCUGCCGUGGGCGCUGGAGAACUGAGGGGGGCUGCUCCUAGUACGAGAGGACCGGAGUGGACGCAUCACUGGUGUUCGGGUUGUCAUGCCAAUGGCACUGCCCGGUAGCUAAAUGCGGAAGAGAUAAGUGCUGAAAGCAUCUAAGCACGAAACUUGCCCCGAGAUGAGUUCUCCCUGAGACUUAGAGUCUCCUGAAGGAACGUUGAAGACGACGACGUUGAUAGGCCGGGUGUGUAAGCGCAGCGAUGCGUUGAGCUAACCGGUACUAAUGAACCGUGAGGCUUAACCUU